rnacentral:tRNA from 1 species
GGGGAUGUAGCUCAGUGUUAGAGCACUUGCCUGGCCUGCAUGAGGCCCUAGGUUCCAUCCCCA